ensembl:lncRNA
UAAAGGGCCAUACCACCACCCUUCCUUCCUCGUCUAUCCCUUCUGAAGAGCUUGUAGCCAUCCAACACAGCACUCCAGUCAUGGGAGUGGUCCCACCAUUUUUCAGUAAUAGCAACUAGGUCAUAGUUAGCCUGCUGCACAAUCGCUUCCAACUCCUCCUGCUUGUCGCCCAUGCUGCGUGCAUUGGUGUAGAUGCACUUGAGCCAAGUCAUCUGCCUCAUCCCCAUCUCAGGCAUUGUUCCCCCAGGCUCAUCUCUGGUUAACCCUGUUUUUUUCCCUUCCCCUGUCAUAGCUAGUUUAAAGCUCUUUUGAUAAGCCCCGCUAACUCCUGCCCUAGGAUUCAUUGUCCGCUUUGAGAUAGGUGGGUUCCAUGCAGAGACAACAGGCCAGGGGCCAAGUAAACUGACCCAUGAUCAAAGAACCCAACGUUUCUGCCUUGACACCAGCCUCUGAGCCAAUUAUUUAUUGCUUGUGCUUUCCAAGCCCACUCUGUGUCCCUCACUGCCCCUGAAGGUAUAAAGCUAAAGAUCACUUGAGCUCCCACUCCUUGAACUAAGCUCCCUAAACCCCUGCAAUCUCUCUUCAUAGUUUGUAGGCUUCUCAGAGCAAUUUCAUCACUGCCCACCUGAACUAUGAGUAAUGGAAAGGAAUCCGUGGACCUAACCUGCUGGGGGAGUUUCCUGGUUAUGUCUCUGACCCAGGCCCCUGGAAGGCAACACCCUUCCCAGUUGCGCAGGUCCAAUCUACAUAUGGGGCCCUCCAUUCCUCUGAGAAGGGAAUCUCCCAUCACAACCACAUUUCUUUCUCUCCUGACAGAGGCAGUCUCAAGGCGUGGGGGGUGACCACAUUGCCUUAGACUCCUUCCUAGGCAGAUCCUCCAUCACCUCCCUACUCCCCUCCCCUUCAAUUUCUAGAAUCUCAAACCUGCUGCUUAGAGGGAGCUGGGGACACAGGGUAGGCAGGCACAGGGGCCCCCGUGACACCAAGCCAGGACUCUCUUCCAGUUCUCCUCAUCAGACAGGUCUGUCUGACUGUGACAGGGCAGGAGGUCAACCACUUUUCUGGGGAUAUCUCCCUAGCACCCUUCCCUCCAGCAUACCAUCAAGUCACUCCACCAGUCAGUCUCCCGCUCACACUCCCUGAUGGUCCUUAAUCUUUGCACCUCCUCCUUGAGCUCCACGACCAGGCUGAGCAGCUCAUCCACCUGCUCACACCUCACAGAGGUGGAAUCCCUGCCACCCUCCCCAGGCAGCAGCAGGCUCAGGCACUCCUUGCAGCCAGAGACCUGAACAGCUACAUUUCUGGGCAGGCCCUCCAUCUGGGUCAGCACACUCUUCUUAGAAUAAGCCCACUGUCUGGUGAAGACCAUGUUUAGGCCUGCAGUCUCAGAGACUGUCAAGAGGAAAGCUGGUCUCCUGAGCAAGGAGGAACUAUACUUACAGUCCUCACCACUUGACCCACCUCCCACACCCACAGCUGCAGCACCAUAUGGGCAUUGUGGGCUGUGCUCACUCACUGAGCUUCCUCAUUCUCAGUGGGCAGCAACAAUGGUUAGUCACCCAGGGAGCUCUGUAGGCAGAAGCUAGCUUCCCAAAGUUAUUUAAAGCUUAUUAUCAGGUGCAAACAUUAAGGGCAGGUGUUUAAACUGUGCCACUAACAUGCUAGCUGCACCCCUUGUUGUCUCAGGAGCCUGCCCCAAAGCUGCUAGCUCCUCAGCACCAGCACAGCACUGUUACUGGCUUCAAAACAGCCUUAAAAAGAGGGUUUUUUUUGUUGGUCUUUUAUAUUUCAGCUUCCUUGUUCUGUGCAGUCUUACUUGCUUUGAGGCUAGUCCCUGCAGCAAAUUUUUGUAUGGUGUAACCAAAAUUUUAUAUACAUGAAAGUAAUUUGUAGCUUUUCUGUACAGAAAAAGUUAUUUAUGGGUUUAACGGGCAUGUAGUGAAACACACAGAAAUAUAGGCCUUGUGUGAAAGCAGAUACUUGAGAAAUGGGGACAUAAGAAGUAGGGUAGAGGACAGGGGAGCACAGAUGUGGGGUGAUUAGAGUCAGCACAAGCUGACUCUGAAAACCCUUUAGCUCUGAACCCUCCAGCAGUCACUUAAAGAAAUGCAUGUCUGGAUCCGAACAAAACUGGCUUCAGUGGUAAUACAGAACAAGGAGCAAGUAUAUAAUUAUGUAAAAUCCAUCAUAUACAGUAAGCGUACAUGAUAUAAAAAGAUUCAUUACAGAAUUGCAGACAAGUGAAGAAAAAGCAAACUAUAAAUUAUGUGUUAACAAGCAUACAGAAAGUGGACCCUAGAGUGAGGAAGCUGAAAACAUAAACAUGAAGGUCCUCCUGGUGGAAUACUUAGAAUGUUGCUUGACUUCUUGUGUUCCACCAAAGUACACUGUUAUCAUUACACAAGGAGAAGAAAAGAGGAACAGUACACCAACAGAAGAACUAGAAGCUAGGAAGUGUGCAUAUAGUAAUUUUAACUGUAUUGCUAUUAUGAAUGUGUUAUUAUUAAUAUAUUUUCUGUAUAAUUGGAUUUGCUUUUUUCAUGUAACAUUUAGAUCUGGACUAAUAGUAAUCCUGUAAUAAGACUGUUAAGAUUUCAGUUAUACAACCUCUUGGCUUUUUAUAUGUUUCCUCUUUUGUUCAUAACAAGAUUUUAAGCAACAGAAUGCUCUCCAGGGCUUGAGCACAGGCAAGUAAAUUGGAAGGUCAUGGGACUUCUUUCUGGGAGUGCUGUGGUGAGUGAUGAGAAAUGGUAAUACCUAUGGAGAGGUGACAUCUGAUAGGUGAUGAGAACUGGUUGCCCUGCUGAGACUUAAAAGCACUGUGCAUAAGAGACAAAGAAACAAUUACCGUCUCUGGUUAAUUAACAAUGCAGCUGCAAAAAUAAAUAAAUAAAUAAAUAAAUGUUGAGGUGGGGGGGGGAAGUGGUUGUUAAAUGCUAUUGCAUCCAUAAAUGGCUUCCUUGAACAUAAUGCAGUGGAGAAUCUGAAUGGCAUGUUUUUUACUUUUUCAAAGGCAAAUUCCUUAGGAAAAAGGAUUUGUCUUUUUAAAGCUAUUUGAUCACAUUCAAAUCCUCUCUUCUUGGUACAACAUGUUACCUUUUUGUUAUGAAUUUAGGGAGUACAUUUUAAUAGCUCAAUGUGAAGUUCAUAAGAGGAUCAAAUGCCUAAAUAUUAUUUUUAAUGCUCUUCAGCUCAUUUCCUUUUUUCCUGCUGAUAUUGCUAAAAAGUCUGCCAAGAACGCACUGGCAAAUUGGUUUUGCAGAAGCUCAAGAAACAGUCAAAACUUCCUUGCUCCUGAAUAAUGAAUGUAGACUGUUUCUCAGUCCAGUAAACACUGCAUUUUUGUAAAGAAAGAAAACAGCUGGUGCAUGAAAUCAAGCUUACUCAUACAUUUCAAGGAAACUUCUCUCAGGAUACAUCUUCAGAUAAACAUUGAACUACAAUCCUUUUUUUUAAUUUCCCCCUCCCCCCAACCAAGAAUAUGAGACCUUUUAAGCAGAAGGCAGUAAUAUUUGUUUUGUGUGAGUGAAGUAGUGUGUUUGGCCUAGCAGAAAGACUUCUUAUUCCUCUGGGCUCCCAUAGGCUUGUGGAAUAAAAGUGAGUUGUGCAUCAAUGGUUUUCUGUGGGCUCCCAGACCAUAUCAAACAUCCUAUGACAUGCUCUGCAUUCAGUAUAUGGGAAAUACAGCUAUGCAACCCAGUGCCAGGAAGGGAAUGCAGCUGGGAGAAGAGAAUACAGGGGCUUAAAGAUGCACACAGUAAAUUUACAUUCCAGAGAGUGGUUAAUGGUCAAGAAAAUCAGGAGUUCACUGAAGCAAAAGAGAGAGGAAUGUCCAACUUCUUUUGAUUGAUGGUGAGCAGAAUGCCAAGGAUCAAGAGAAAACAAGCACAAAAAGACAUUUCAGUAGUAAAAACAAGGCAUUAAUAGUGAAUAUCAUGCCUAACACUGAUGAUGAUUUAUAGUCUGGCUCACAGACAAAACCACCAACCUGGUACUGCUAAGAACAUGAGGCAUGGAAAACUCCAAGGUCUUUUUCAAAAAUGAUAGAGUACACAAGAGAUGCAGUUUUUCUUGGAGAUUUGUUUCCUUUUCAGAAUCUCCUGCAAUCAUUCAAUUUUCAAGGCUAUUAAUCCUGAAGAAGCUCUAAUAUGCCAGCUUGAGACCGAAACUGAAAUUAUUUUUGGUCAAGCAAUACAGUUCUAGCUUCUUACAUGAGGCAAACUAAAUCUAACUUCAUGAUGUGAGGUAAUUGGUUAUGAGGCACCUAUGUUAUAGGUGUAAACCUAUAGAAAAACAUUUAUAUGACAGGUUUAUGUUCUGACAGUAAAUAUAUGGCAAAAUCUGUUUUUUUCAGGGAGCACAUAGUUUACAAAUGAUUAUUUAUUUUCCUAAUAAGGAAUUGAUUUCAAAAGAAAUUUAAUAUCUAUGUUUUUUUCUUAACUGAUAAAAUGUACACUAUAAAAUGUUCCGCUCAGCAUCUCAGUUCUACCUUUGUCCAAGGAGAUUUGAAUAAGUGUCUCUCAGUUUACCACAUAUUUCAACUAUCAGAUAACAGUCAUUCUAUUAUAUGCCAACUUACAUAUAUGUAAUUUAUUGAGAUGUUACUUAAGAAAAAGAUAUUAAAGAAGACAUUUCAAAAUACUGAUGAUGAUUAGGUUAUUUACCUGAGAGGUUACUUUUGAUGUUUUAGUACCCAUUCUAUAUUAGACAAUGAUAUGAAUAAUUUGAUAGCAGGACCUUCUUAGGAUGCUUAAAGAUUCAACCAUUCCUUUUGACACUGUUCCACUUUAGACAAAAUUCUCCAAAUGUUAUUGAGAUGCAGAACUAGAGUGGCUCUCUAGCCUUCUGGCUAGGACACUCUCCCAGGAGAUGGGAACACGUGGACCACUGCUCUCCCAUAAAUAUUUAAUUAAUUAUACACAGUGGAAGAGUGUCAAUAUGAGACAUUGAGAAAGCCCUGUUAUGUUAGUUUAAAGUUAAGGGCAAGCAUUUAGAAGAGUGAGAUGUGGAUUUGAAACCAUUCAUGGAGAGUGAAGUGAAUCUAGAAUCUUCACAUCCUGCAUCCUGUUGCUUGAGUACCUGAGCAUAUGAGAGCUUCCUCUUCUUCCAGUUGUUUGAGUUUUUUAUUUUAUUUAUUUAAUGAUGAAAACGGACACAAUUUCUUCUGCAGGUCUAGGCCGGUUGAGAAUAGAGAAAUCAAAAAUCAGGGUAGGACUUACUUUUUUCUAAAUACAAUACUUGGAAAAUAAAAUACUUGGUCUCCUUUCUGCACUUUUUUUUCCAAAACAUUUACUUUAAAUAAUUUUGUAUAUAUAUAUAUAUAUGUGUGUGUGUGUGUGUGUGUGUGUGUGUGCAUAUAUAUAUAAACUUAAUUAUAAGUGUAUGUGGCUUAAGAGAAAGGGUGGUACAAAUUUGUGAUCUAUCAUCAGUUGACUGAAAUGCACAGUUCUCAGUUCAUGGUGUGGUAACUUUGUUUCACUACCAUUCAGACAUAAAUACAAACAUAUAUUCUCCCUACUUUCAGAUGUGCAGAAAUAGAUAUGAGUAUGCAUAUAUGUUCAAAUACAUAAGUACAUGAACAUAUAAAAAUUUCCAAAGAAAAAUGAACCCCUCAAGCUCAGUAGUAAAUGUGAACACCAAUUAUUUAUUUGCAUUUUAUGUGAAUAAUGUUCUUUUUGGCUUUUUAUAUUGGAGAAAAAAAAAUAUGUUUAUAUUGGCAACACUUCUUUGCAUGCAUUGAGCUACAUACACUGCUUCUGAAAUUUAGAGGCCCAUUUAAAAAGGACUCACUUGAAAAGAUUUUGCUCUUACAUGUAUAAUUUCAAAGGGAAGAAUAUUGUAUUCUGCCAUAACCCUUCACACAAGUAUUUUACCUAAGGAUUUUAUCUUGUUCUAUAUUUGGAAAGUAUCACAAAGACCUCAUUCCACUGUUUUUCAUCCUUUUUUUUUUUCUUUUUUUUCUUUUUUUUUCUCUUUGUAGCUAUACCUUCUUUUAUUAAAAAAUGUAAAGAUUUUUAAUAUCCUACUACAUGUAAUACUUAAUAUAAUUUACCUUGCUACAAGAAUUUCCACAAGUUUAGAGCCAAAGAAUGUAAUAUAUAUAUAGGCUUAGAUCCAUGGCCUAUCCAGACUACUAUUCUCCCUCUAACACAGGCAGUAGGAGGCAUAACUUGGGGAAAGCGUGCAAAUAUUUCUGCUACCUGAAAAUUAGAGAGGAAGGAAUAAGAAAGGGAGGGAGAGGCUAAGCUAAAAUGUGAACCACAAAACUUCCAAACGUUUAAGUUCACUCUAACUGUAACAUGUGGAUCCCAACACUAUAUUUGAGUGUUGAGGAUACAUUACACAUCUUCUCUUCACUGUUUCAAUAUAAAAAAAAGACCAAAGCAAGCAUACUGAGAGGUAGGUGUAGCAUGUUCUGAGCACAUCUGCAGCAUGAACAACCAAGACAGGACUUGGCAGCAAUUAAUACUUUGUUGUGGCUGGCCAUGCAGCACAUGAAAUUCUAGGAUGGGAUGGGAUGGGAUGGGAUAGCAUAGCAUGGCAUGGCAUAGAAUGGAAUGGAAUGGAAUGGAAUGGAAUGGAAUGGAAUGGAAUGGAAUGGAAUGGAAUGGAAUGGAAUAGAAUAGAAUAGAAUAGAAUAGAAUAGAAUAGAAUAGAAUAGAAUAGAAUAGAAUAGAAUAGAAUAGAAUAGAAUAGAAUAGAAUAGAAUAGAAUAGAAUAGAAUAGUUGGAAGGGAUUUGCAAAGCCCACUGAAUCCAACUGACAGACCACAUCAGGACUAAUGGAAAGUUAAAGAGAGCACUUUAUUUUUUUAUUAUAUGCCCUCAUUAUUAAUGAGGGCAUUAUAUCCACAGGGCUGCUCUCAAUGAGAUCUUCUCCCAGUCUGUAAAAAUACCUGGGAUUGCCCCAACCCAAGUGCAAAACCUUUCACUUGGCUUUGUUGAACCUCACUAGGUUCACAUGGGCCCACUUCUCUAGCCUGUCCAGGUCCAUCUGUAUGGCUUCCCCUCCCUUCAGUGCACCAUCAACUGCACCACUGAGAUUGGUGUCUUCUGCAAACUUACAAACGAAAUUGAGGGUGCACUCAAUUCUAUUGUUUAUGUCAUUCAAGAUGUUGAAGAGCACAACAGUAUGUUGUCAAUGAGUCCUGUGAGUAUACAUUUUUUCUUUUUUUGAAAUCUGUAACUAAAAUGAAUAUUUAGGUGUAUUACAACCAGCAGGUUGCAGAGUAAAACUAAUACAAAUUAUCAAAUAUUCUUACUAUAGUGAUUCUCAUCCUUCUAUCCUUGGUAAUUGGUUCCCUAACAUUAACAGCUUUUGAUUCCUAAUGCUUUCUAGACCUUUGAUCUUUAGCAAGGUCUUUCUUGAUAAUGCUUGAUAAUGCUGACAAGUGACAUUUUCAAAAAGUGACAUCACCAUGAAAAAUUAUCUGGGUUUUUUUUUUUUUUUUUUGUGAUUAAUCCAAAUUCAUUUACAUUGUUAGAUGUUAAUGAGAUUCAACAAAUGAGGUUCAGUAGAGCAAAGUGAAAGAUUUGUACUUGGAACGAGGUAAUCCCAGAUAUGUAUACAGACUGAGAGAAGAAUUUGAGAGCAGUUCUGAUGAGAAAGAUUUAAGGGUCCUAGUUGGUGAAAAACAUAACAUGCGUCAGCAGUGUGUAACUGCAGCCCAGAAGGCCAAUGGUGUCCUGGGUUCCAUCAGAAGAGUGGUGGCAAGCAGGGAGAGGGAAGUGGUUGUCCCCCUCUGCUCUUGUGAGGCCCCUGCUGGAGUACUCUGUCUAUGUCUGGAGCCCCCAACACAGGAAAGAUGUGGAGCUUUUGGAGAGGGUCCAGAGGUGGGCCAUGAACCUGUCCCAUGAAGAUAGGCUGAGGAAACUGGGCUUGUUCAUCCUGGAAAAAAGCAGGUUGUGGGGAGACAUCAUUGCAAGCUUCCAAUAUUUUAAGGGAAUUUAUAAACAUGAGGGAAAUCAAAUAAAGGAGGGGAGAUUUAGAUUGGAUGUCUGGGAGAAGUUUUUUUACUGAGUGUGGUGAGAUGCUGGAACAGGUUGCCUAGAGAGGUUGUGAAUGACCAGUCCCUAGAGGUGUUGAAGGCCAGGCUGGAUAGGACCCUGAGGAAUCUGAUGUAGUACUUGAUCUAGCAGCUGGAAGCUCUGCCUGUGGCUGGGGGGUUGGAACUCGGUGAGCCUUGAGGUCCCUUCCAACCCAAGCUUUUCUUUGAUUCUAUGAUUCUAUGUAGCAUAGGCAUAAACAUGGAUGUACAUUAUGUGAAUGAAUCUAUUAAAAAACAUUCAAAUUAUUUACUUUUUGCAGAGUUAACUGAAGUCAAUAAAAUGCUCACAGUUCAUCAACAUUUCUAUGCUAUAUUUUUGUUAUUUUAACUGUGUAUUUCUUUAAGAAACACCUUCAUCUGUGAGAACUCUCCUGUAUGUUCAAGUUAACUUAAGCUAGGUAUAGUUUUUCAGGUUGUAGAUUAUGACUUUGUCAUGGUUUUAUGAUUUUUGGUUAUCAGUAUUCCACAUCACAUCAUGCAGGGUACUGGGAGUUAAAGAGCAAAUGCUUUAGUUCCGGGUACCUGUCUGGAAGAGAAGAAGAACUACGUUCCCCAAGAGCCUUUUCGAGUACUGUUAUCAUUCCUGCUCAAGGGAACAGAUAUAAGGGCGCAGGUGAUCUGACUCGUCCUUUCUUCUCGUCUCGCCGUGUUCCCUGUCAGAUCGGCUCACUACUGCUGCGCCCGACUGCACGCAAGGCUUCAGUAUUACCAUAAGGCCUUUGGCUCUCGGACAAUCUUCCUCUCAAUUAUUUUUGAUUUAUACUGUAUUAUAGUGUGUUAUCUUACAUUCUGAUACUAUAUUUAGUAAAUUAGUUAGUUUCUCC